AUAAAAAAAUGGGCCCUCAAAACCCCAAAUGCCCAAUACUCUUAUCUCCAGUCUAUAUUUAUUUGCUGCAAAUUUCAGAAUUGUUUUUUUCAAAGGACUAAAUUGAGAGUCGUACAUAACAUAGGGUUCCUUUGAUAUUAAUCGAUUUGAGAAGACGUGGAAGCUGGGAAAAGUGGCUUCAACUGGAAUCGAUUUUGACCCACGAAAUCGCGUUUGAGGUUGUAGGACGCAUAACCAAACAGGACUGGUAUGGCGUCUUUUGCUUCUUCUUCUGAUUAUCCAUUUGCACCACCAUUCAAAUUUCGUUCCAUUUUUGUGAACCUUCCCUCCAUGUUGCGUUUGGUGCAUAACUCAAUGCGAUAUAGAUUCGAGUAUGAAGCAUGAGACAGACUUGAGUGUUAAAGAACAAGAACAAGCAAGAGCAAAUGAUUUAUUUUUGGAAGCGCGAAAGCUUUGUGUAGAUCCCAAACUAUCCAAGUCCAUCAUUAAUCUAUGUCACGUUAAUCCAUUCUUUGAGACCAUUCAUGAUGCAGCUCCAAAUUCAGUAUGUGAACAAUCCAUCCACAAUGUUUAUCCAAAAAUGUGUAUAAGAUGUGGAACUAGGAAUGAUUUGUUAGCUACAUCAUGUUUCCAUCUUUUGUGUGUCUAACCUGUGGAAGCAGAAUGCCGAUGUUACUAAGAAGAUAAGUUGCAGUUAUUGCUACAAUGACAUAGAAGCAGAAGAUGUUUGGCCACUUUACGACACAAGGUCAAAGAUUGAUAUUAUGGUUACACUUUUGAAAGAAGAUCCAACUCAGAAGAUUGUAGUUUUUUGUGAGUUCAUUGAAACUUUGGUAAGGUUAUAUUUUGCUCUUAGAUCCAAUAAUACGAAGGGAUAUUGUUGCUUCCACAGCAUGAAGGGAACAAUUAAUACUCAUCAUAUUCAUCAAUUUCAAAAUAAAGAUGACGUAAACAUUCUUUUGGUUGAUUUAAGAAUGAUGGAUAAUUUUGAAAGUUUUAAUCUCAGUUGUGUGUCGAAGGUCUACUUGAUGAAUGCAUGUCUUAAGACUAUGGAGCAAAAAAUUGUCUCACUUUUCACUAAGCAAAAGACGAAUCAAGUGAAAUUUGUGAGUGUCUUGACAGAAAAUAGUGUAGAAGAUAAAUUGAUUGGAGAUAAAGUUGAGAUGGAUGUUUUUGGUAUUUUUGAUGGAGGUGCUGAUACAAUAUAUCCAACUAUAAAGUUGGUCUAAAGAACAACAGAUGUUUUUGUUUGAACCCUGUUUAGAUUUGUUGUUUGUCUCAUGGAGUUUGUUUGCUAUUUUAGGUAAGUAGUUUGAUAUUUUGUUGUUUGUUUCAUGUAUGUGUUGGUUAACUUAUUAAGAGAUAACUAGUUUGAUAUUUG